rnacentral:rRNA from 1 species
CCUACGGGGGGCUGCAGUGAGGGAUAUUGGACAAUGGGCGGAAGCCUGAUCCAGCCAUGCCGCGUGAAGGACUAAGGCCCUAUGGGUCGUAAACUUCUUUUGACGCAGAGCAAUAAGGGACACGUGUGUUCCGAUGAGAGUAUGCGUCGAAUAAGCAUCGGCUAACUCCGUGCCAGCAGCCGCGGUAAUACGGAGGAUGCGAGCGUUAUCCGGAUUUAUUGGGUUUAAAGGGUGCGUAGGCUGUCGGUUAAGUCAGCGGUGAAAUCAGCACGCUUAACGUGUUGUUUGCCGUUGAAACUGUCCGUCUUGAAUGCGCUCGUCGUGGGAGGAAUGUGUGGUGUAGCGGUGAAAUGCAUAGAUAUCACACAGAACACCGAUUGCGAAGGCAUCUCACGAGAGCGUUAUUGACGCUGAUGCACGAAAGCGCGGGUAUCGAACAGGAUUAGAUACCCCAGUAGUC